rnacentral:lncRNA from 10 species
AUUUAAAACAAACAGAAAUUUAUUGGCUCACACUUUUGGAGGGUAGCAAAUCCAAUAUCAAUGUGCAGACAUCUUGCAAGGGUCUUCUUGCUGUGUCAUAUGAUGGCAGGAAGGGAGGAAGAAUGAAAGAAAGAAUGUGCGUAAAGGGGGCCAAGCUCUCCCUUUUAUAACAAACCCACUCCCACAAUAAUGGCACUAAUCCAUUCACUUCACCUUCUUGGCCUAAUCACUUUUCAUCAGGUUCCACCUCCCAACACUGUUGAAUUGGGAAUCAAGUUUCUAACACCUGCUUUUUGGGGGACACAUAAGAACCAAAGCACUGUGUAACAAAUUACCCCAAAAGUUAGUGUCUUAAAAUAUUUAUUAUCACACAUUUUCUAUGGCCCAGAAAUUCAGGUAUGGUUUAGCAGAUACUCUGGCUCACGAUCUCUAACAAGGACACAGUCAAAGUAUCAUCUGGUUGUGUAGUCAUCUUAAAGCUCAACUGGGGAAGGAUCCAUUUCCAAGCUCACUCACAACUCUGCUGUUCACAUGGUUGUUGGCAGAAUUUAGUUUUUUGUGGGCUAUUGGACCAAGAGCCUCAGUUCCUCACUGGCUGUUGGCCAGAGGCCACUUUCAAUUCCUUUUAACAUGUGUUUCUCCACAGAACAGCUCAUAAUAUAGCAGCUCAUUUCAUAAGAGUCAGCAAACCGAGAAGAGCCAGGGAAAGAGAAUCAAAACAGACUCUGCAAUCAAAACAGAAAUGAUAGCCUUUUGGAACCUAGUCUCAGAAAAGACAUUGAAUCGCUUUUGCCUUAUAUUCUAUUCAUUAGAAGCAAAGUAUUAGGUCUAUCCCAGAAAGAUCAACUCUGGGUGUGGUGGUGGGGGGUGGGACGGGGAUUAUAGAAGGGAAUGAACACCAGGAAUGGGGAUCAUUGGGGGCUGUCUUGAAGGUUGUCUAAUCACAAAACUCUGUCAAAUAGAGGCAUAACCUGGAGAUAUUGUGGCUUUGGUUCCAGACCACCACAAUAAAGUGAAUAUCACAAUAAAGUGAGUCACACAAAUUUGUUGGCUUACCAGAACACAUUAAAGUUUACACUAUAUUGAGGUCUACUAAGUGAGUGAUAGCAUUCUGUCUAAAAAAGUGUACAUACCUUAAUUUUAAAAUACUUUAUAACUAAAAAAUGCUGACAAUCAUCUGAACCUUCAGCAAGUUGUGAUCUUUUUGCUGGUGGAGAGUUUUGCCUCAAUGUUGAACACUUUGCUUUGGAUUAGGCUUUGGCUUAAGGGAAUGUUGUGGCUGGUUUGAUUUUUUUAUCCAAGUUAUUAACACUUUCUCCAUACCAGCAAGAAGGCUGUUUGGCUUUCUUAUCAUUCAUGCAACAGCUGAAAAUUUAAGAGGGAAAUUCUGGACAUUAGAACUCUACAGAAAGACUGAGAUUUAAAAUCUGAAUAUAAAUUUUGCCAAAAUCCUUGGCUUACCACUCAAAUAUGCAAAUACAAGGGAGCCUCCAGGGAGCCAGGCUUAACAAAGCAGAACCUGGGAGCCAAAAGAACUGAGCACAGAGGUCUGACCACCAAGGCUGCUGAAGCCGCAACAGCCUAACUCUCCCACUGAUCACAACUAAAAACUCUAAACAAAAUUCUAAAAGCAACUAUUUAAGGACUCUCAAAAG